GCCUACGGGGGGCAGCAGUGAGGAAUAUUGGUCAAUGGGCUUACGCCUGAACCAGCCAAGUCGCGUGAGGGAAGACUGCCCUAUGGGUUGUAAACCUCUUUUGUCAGGGAGCAAUUGGCGCUACGUGUAGCGUUAUCGAGAGUACCUGAAGAAAAAGCAUCGGCUAACUCCGUGCCAGCAGCCGCGGUAAUACGGAGGAUGCGAGCGUUAUCCGGAUUUAUUGGGUUUAAAGGGUGCGUAGGCGGAAUGCCAAGUCAGCGGUAAAAUCGCGGGGCUCAACUCCGUCGAGCCGUUGAAACUGUCGU
rnacentral:rRNA from 1 species